AUCAAUUGUAAAUGUAACAGGAAGCCAGUGUAAAGACCUGAGGUCUGGAGUAAUAUGCUCUGACUUUUUGGUUCGGGUGAGAAUCCUGGCAGCGACAUUCAGAAUGAGCUGCAGGUGUCUAAUGGUCUUUUUGGGAAGGUCGGUGAGGAGUCCAUUGCAGUAGUCCACCCUGCUGGUGAUGAAUGCAUCUGUAUGACAGGAUACAAAACGUCCAUUUCUGGCUGAUUUAGUUAUUGAUUUGAUGUGACAACUGAAACGAAGGUCUGACAUCAAGAAGAAAGAAAAUCACACACAUCUGGGAUGGCAUGAAGAUCAGGAGUCCAGGAAGGCCAAGGUGGCAACCCUACUCGUAAGGCACACGGAAAAACCAAAACCAAACUGCUCAUGUGGCCUCGUUUCUUCGAGCCGGCCUUAUUGUCAGCAGUUUUUCAACGCACCCGUCACUUGCAGCCACCUGGUAACAAUAAGAUAGCAUCAACUGUAGAGGAAGAGGAGGCAGCUAAACUGGGGCGUUGUGUGUGAACGCACGCACACACACACACACACACACACACACACACACUGACUCUCAGGUAUGAAAGUACUCCAUAUUUAUCUUCUCCAGUUAUAUGGGUCUGCAUACGAAGCAAAUAUCCUCCAAGUCAUUGUUUUUCUAUUUAUACCACAAAAAUAGAAAUAAACAGAUCGGAGCUGGAUCCCUGCUGCAAUUACACUAACAGAGGAAUGAGCUGACAGCAAUGCAGGUUUAUACCGGAGUGCUAAAGGUUCCCCAGUUGUCGUUUACACAGGAACAUUAAUCACCAUGUAUAUUUAGGAGAUUACAGGUUAUUAGAUUAUUAUGAGAUUGAUACAUAUUCUCUAAACUUUUAAGCAGAAUGUGCUGGGAAUACAGCACCAAAAGUCCCAAGUAAAAUAUUUAAUCUUUAAAUAAAAAAAUGAUUUCUCUCUUCCAUUACUGUUGAGAAUGAUCCAAUGCAUAUUAAAGGGAGAUCAUUUGUAGAGCUAUAAUUACAUUUAAGUUUAAAGAGGUACAUCAAGCACCUUUAGCGUGUGUAGAGGGGUUCACUGUGAGAUCAGUCUGGUUUACUAUACUUAGGGGACAAAUCUGUCCGCAGAAGUGAGCUAAAUCUAACAAAAUGUGCCCUUGGGGAUGUCCCCAUUUGUAAGAAACAAAUCAGAAAUCCAUUUUAACAUGAAUAAAUUAUAAGCAAUGUUUUUUUUAUUCUAAAAAUGCAAAAAGGAUUCUUUAAGGGUUAGAUUUUG